rnacentral:rRNA from 1 species
GACGAACGCUGGCGGCGUGCUUAACACAUGCAAGUCGAGCGGAGCGGCGACCGGGUGAGUAACGCGGGAGUAACUGCCCCCCUCUCUGGGAUAACAGUUGGAAACGGCUGCUAAUACCGGAUAGUGGGGGAUGACUCGCGGCCUAUCAGCUGGUUGGUGGGGUAGUGGCCUACCAAGGCGACGACGGGUACCCGGCCUGAGAGGGCGACCGGCCACAGUGGGCUGGGAUACGGCCCGAAGUCCUACGGGAGGCAGCAGUGGGGAAUAUUGCACAAGGGGGCAAAGCCUGGUGCAGCAACGCGCGUGCGGGAUGACGGCCUUCGGGUUGUAAACCGCUUUGAGCCAUGACGCGGUAGUGGCAGAAGAAGCACCGGCUAACUACGUGCCAGCAGCCGCGGUAAUUC